UACGUAGGGGGCAAGCGUUGUCCGGAAUUAUUGGGCGUAAAGAGCGCGUAGGCGGUCCGAUAAGUCGGCUGUGAAAGUCAGGGGCUCAACCCUUGGAAGCCGGCCGAUACUGCCGGGCUAGAGUCCGGAAGAGGCGAGUGGAACUCCUGGUGUAGCGGUGGAAUGCGCAGAUAUCAGGAAGAACACCAACGGCGAAGGCAGCUCGCUGGGACGGUACUGACGCUGAGACGCGAAAGCGUGGGGAGCGAACAGG
rnacentral:rRNA from 1 species